CGUGGUGAUUCCCGAGGGAGCUUCUCUCGCUCUGGUCUGGUUAAUAUCUUCAUUAAGUCUGAUUGCUCUUGAUUGCUCUCAUCAUCACGCCACAAAGUCAUUUCAAAGAAGGAAGUUAAGAGCCUCUGGGGAGCACGUACAGGAAUUAACGAGCAGCCUAACAAUCAUCUCCCUAAGGACACCUCGCCAGUCCUGUGAUUGAUUUUGAUAUUUUUCAAAGACAAAAUCUCAAAAUCAGAAAAUACUCCAAAUUCACUAAACUCACAGCCACGUAGCAAUGAGAAAGAUGUUGAGAAAAUCAGACAAGAAGAAAAGAUGAGAAAGAAAGCUGAGGUUAAACCUAGAAUGAACAGAUGCUAUGCUGUACCUUUUAUUUUAACUAUUUCCAUGAUAACGCUUGUGAACAAUGUGGACAGAAUUUUU